rnacentral:rRNA from 1 species
UACGAAGGGGGCUAGCGUUGCUCGGAAUCACUGGGCGUAAAGCGCACGUAGGCGGAUCUUUAAGUCAGGGGUGAAAUCCCAAGGCUCAACCUUGGAACUGCCUUUGAUACUGGGGAUCUCGAGUCCGGAAGAGGUUGGUGGAACUGCGAGUGUAGAGGUGAAAUUCGUAGAUAUUCGCAAGAACACCAGUGGCGAAGGCGGCCAACUGGUCCGGUACUGACGCUGAGGUGCGAAGGCGUGGGGAGCGAACGGG